rnacentral:misc_RNA from 1 species
GAAAUGCGAUAAGUAAUGUGAAUUGCAGAAUUCCGUGAAUCAUCGAAUCUUUGAACGCACAUUGCGCCCCCUGGCAUUCCGGGGGGCAUGCCUGUCCGAGCGUCAUUUCUGCCCUCAAGCACGGCUUGUGUGUUGGGUGUGGUCCCCCCGGGGACCUGCCCGAAAGGCAGCGGCGACGUCCGUCUGGUCCCCGAGCGUAUGGGGCUCUGUCACUCGCUCGGGAAGGACCUGCGGGGGUUGGUCACCACCAUAUUUCACCACGGUUGACCUCGGAUCAGGUAGGAGUUACCCGCUGAACUUAAGC